CGGGAUAGCUCAGCUGGUAGAGCAGAGGACUGAAAAUCCUCGGGUAACCAGUUAAA
rnacentral:tRNA from 1 species